rnacentral:rRNA from 1 species
UAGGGAAUCUUCCGCAAUGGGCGAAGGCCUGACGGAGCAACGCCGCGUGAGUGAUGAAGGUCUUCGGAUCGUAAAACUCUGUUAUCAGGGAAGAACAAAUGUGUAAGUAACUGUGCACAUCUUGACGGUACCUGAUCAGAAAGCCACGGCUAACUACGUGCCAGCAGCCGCGGUAAUACGUAGGUGGCAAGCGUUAUCCGGAAUUAUUGGGCGUAAAGCGCGCGUAGGCGGUUUUUUAAGUCUGAUGUGAAAGCCCACGGCUCAACCGUGGAGGGUCAUUGGAAACUGGAAAACUUGAGUGCAGAAGAGGAAAGUGGAAUUCCAUGUGUAGCGGUGAAAUGCGCAGAGAUAUGGAGGAACACCAGUGGCGAAGGCGACUUUCUGGUCUGUAACUGACGCUGAUGUGCGAAAGCGUGGGGAUCAAACAGG